AGCGAUCAAUCAUCCCAGCAGAAUUACAUGCAGGUCCAAGAUCUCCUCUAACAGAACAUUUUACCUCAUAAAUAGUGCUUCCAGUUGACUGCGACACACUGAAUUGCCAGUUGGGGACGUACAGGCCAUAGAACAACCCACAAUGUAUAGCAGACAAUAGAGAACAUGUUACACCAUUGCCAAAUUUAAUUUCUGAAAAGGGCAACUCUUUUCAUCUCUUGACAUGGAAGCCAUAUCUCGCACAAAGCUGCUAUAAUAUCCAACAGCUAUUCUCUGCAAAAUUCCCAUCCAUCGUAUCCUUUCUAUAUCUACACCAUAGGUUAAACCAGUUACUCCAUGCAAGUAACCCCCUUGAAGGAAAAUGCCAAGGAUAAAAAGUUUCAAGGUCCUAAUCACAACUUUCAAGGUUGCCCCAGUUCUGUCUAAAACUAUCUGCAGGUCUGUGAAACUCUAACAACAAAAGAGGAAAAAAGGCAUUACAAAGUCUGCCAAGCGGACACCAUUCCAUGGGGAGUGAGCAAUGCUGGGAUAAACAGAACCAGAUAAUCCACAAGCAUCAUAAGCUCGAAACACAUGGAGAUAA
rnacentral:misc_RNA from 1 species